AUUGAACGCUGGCGGCAGGCCUAACACAUGCAAGUCGAGCGAGCGGCGGACGGGUGAGUAAUGUCUGGGAAACUGCCUGAUGGAGGGGGAUAACUACUGGAAACGGUAGCUAAUACCGCAUACCAUCAUAUGUGCCCAGAUGGGAUUAGCUAUUAGGUGGGGUAAUGGCUAACCUAGGCGACGAUCCCUAGCUGGUCUGAGAGGAUGACCAGCCACACUGGAAAUGAGACACGGUCCAGACUCCUACGGAAUGCAGCAGUGGGGAAUAUUGGACAAUUGGCACAAUCCUGAUGCAGCCAUGCCGCGUGUGUGAAGAAGGCCUUCGGGUUGUAAAGCACUUUCAGCGGGGAGGCGUUACCCGCAGAAGAAGCACCGGCUAACUCCGUGCCAGCAGCCGCGGUAAUUC
rnacentral:rRNA from 1 species